rnacentral:misc_RNA from 1 species
GAUGAAGAACGCAGCAAAAUGCGAUACUUGGUGUGAAUUGCAGAAUCCCGUGAACCAUCGAGUUUUUGAACGCAAGUUGCGCCCGAAGCCUUUUGGCCGAGGGCACGUCUGCCUGGGCGUCACGCAUCGCGUCGCCCCCCACAAUUCUCCGUAAAGGGAACAUGUGUUUUGGGGGCGGAUAUUGGUCUCCCGUGCUCAUGGCGUGGUUGGCCGAAAUAGGAGUCCUUUCGAUGGACGCACGAACUAGUGGUGGUCGUAAAAACCCUCGUCUUUUGUUUCGUGCUGUUGCUCGCAAGGUAAACUCUUUAAAAACCCCCAUGUGUCGUCUCUUGACGACGCUUCGACCGCGACCCCAGGUCAGGCGGGACUACCCGCUGAGUUUAAGCAUAUCAAUAAGCGGAGGA